GACGAACGCUGGCGGCGUGCUUAACACACGCAAGUCGAACGGAAAGGCCCUGCUUUUGUGGGGUGCUCGAGUGGCGAACGGGUGAGUAACACGUGAGUAACCUGCCCUUGACUUUGGGAUAACUUCAGGAAACUGGGGCUAAUACCGGAUAGGAGCUCCUGCUGCAUGGUGGGGGUUGGAAAGUUUCGGCGGUUGGGGAUGGACUCGCGGCUUAUCAGCUUGUUGGUGGGGUAGUGGCUUACCAAGGCUUUGACGGGUAGCCGGCCUGAGAGGGUGACCGGCCACAUUGGGACUGAGAUACGGCGCAGACUCCUACGGGAGGCAGCAGUGGGGAAUAUUGCACAAUGGGCGGAAGCCUGAUGCGGCAACGCCGCGUGCGGGAUGACGGCCUUCGGGUUGUAAACCGCUUUCGCCUGUGACGAAGCGUGAGUGACGGUAAUGGGUAAAGAAGCACCGGCUAACUACGUG
rnacentral:rRNA from 1 species